CCUACGGGAGGCAGCAGUGAGGAAUAUUGGUCAAUGGACGAGAGUCUGAACCAGCCAAGUAGCGUGAAGGAUGACUGCCCUAUGGGUUGUAAACUUCUUUUAUAUGGGAAUAAAAUGUUCCACGUGUGGGAUUUUGUAUGUACCAUAUGAAUAAGGAUCGGCUAACUCCGUGCCAGCAGCCGCGGUAAUACGGAGGAUCCGAGCGUUAUCCGGAUUUAUUGGGUUUAAAGGGAGCGUAGGUGGAUUGUUAAGUCAGUUGUGAAAGUUUGCGGAUCAACCGGAAAAUGGCACUUGAUACUGGCAGGCUGGAGUUCAGUAGAGGUGGAGGGAAUUCGUGGUGUAGCGGUGAAAUGCUUAGAUAUCAGGAGGAACUUCGAUGGCGAAGGCAGUUCACUGGGCCGCAAUUGACGCUGAGGAACGAAAGUGAGGGUAGCAAACGGGAUUAGAUACCCGUGUAGUC
rnacentral:rRNA from 1 species